GCGGCGGCGACACCUCGCCGGCGGCGACACCACCACUGGAAGACGAAGAUCUCCUCACCGAGGUACUCCUCCGCCUCCCCCCGCAGCCGUCCUCCCUCCCGCGCGCCUCCCUCGUCAGCGGACGCUGGCGCCGCCUCAUCUCGGACCCCCGAUUCGUGCGCCGCUUCCGCCUCCGCCACCGCCGCAACCCUCCCCUCGUCGGCUUCUUCGACAUGGGCACUCGCGGCCUCUACUUCGUGCCUACGCUGGAGAGUCCCGACCGUGUCCCUCCCGGGCGCUUCUCCUUGCAGUUGGACGACGGGGACCAGGCCGUUCCCCUCGGAUCCCGCCACGGCCUCGUGCUCUUCUUGUACCCGUCGUGGAAACAGGUCCUGGUGUGGGAUCCCGUCACCGCCGAGCAGCACCGCGUCGCCCUUCCCCCAAGGUUCACGGGACAUGUGAACAUGGCUGCGAUCCACGGGGCGGUGCUUCGCGCUGCCGGAGACGUCCAACACUUUCAGGUGGUCUUGCUAGUGGUGGACAACGACGACGACAUACACCACAUACGAGCGCUGGCCUGCGUCUACUCGUCGGAGACCCGUGUUUGGGGUGACGUCUUCUCGGCACCGCUUCUGCCCAAGGUCGACUUGAGCAGCCUUUACACCAGGGUUUAUCGGCCCAAGGCGGCUGUGCUGGUUGAAAAUUCCCUUUACUGGAUGCUUGUUGGGAAUUUGGUUGGUAUUCUCGAGUUUGAUUUGGUGAAGCGGAGCAUCGCCGUGAUAUCGGCGCCGGUGGAUGUGUUUACCGAAGGAAAACAUGAAUUCACAGUUGUGCGGACAGAGGGUGGUGGCCUUGGGUUCCUCUUCCUGUCAAAGUCAAACUUCAGUGCCCAAUUAUGGAAGAGAAAGACAAAUAGUGAUGGUGUUGCUUCAUGGGAGCUGGGAAGAACCAUUGAACUGGACAAGCUAAUUCCCCUUAAUUAGGAGGAGAGAGCGCACACAUUCAUAGUAGGGUUUGCUGAGGACAAUAAUGUGGUGUUCCUGUGGACGGUGAUGGGUGCCUUCAUGAUCCAUCUUGAGUCAAUGCAGCUCAAAAAACUUCCGGAUCUCACCGUGAUUUCCUGCUAUCAUCCAUUUGAAAGUGUCUUUGCUGCAGGUAAUGGCAUGCCUUUACACAUCUCAAAAUAGAUAAAUUAGCAUGCCUUUACACUGUGGUGUAACAAAAAAAGUUUAUUUUCUGAUGAUUAGCUGAUGGCAUUAUAUUCACACCCUUUCGUGUAAUGCUAACAAUUUGUAAGUAGUGUCGUAUCACUUGUUUCUUCUACUUCUUGAUGACCUUGUCAACAUAUAGCUGCAGUGUCUUUUCUCUCUCUCAAGAUGACUGAUUACUUAGGUCCCCAUGUGCAUGCAUAUGAUCAUUUCUGCUCAGAGAUGCGCGAAUAUUGACAUGCUAAGUAGUAUCAAAUGUUCAGGCAGAUUUUUUAGUUUUACUAAGCUAGUUGCCAUGCCAUUUCACAUGCCUGCUUAUUUGGCAUCAUUGUGAUAACCAGUGAAGUAACGAUUGUUCGAAUACUUAAUGACUAUGGCUUCAUUAGACUUAUGCUGCUGUUCAUUGUUUUGCUUGCAGCAAUAUUAUUAUAGGUUAUGGAUGGUUAUUCUAGAUAUAUGUUGGUUGUUAUUUUUCCGUUCUUGAUUGUUUCAAUUGUACUUUCAAAUUGCUCAGCGUGACCCUUCAAUCUUGGCCAUCAUUGGCUGGUCCAAACUAUAUGUUAGCUAUGCUUUAUGUGCGGUCUAAUUUCUUCAAUCUUGGCCAUCGUGGAUGUUUAAUACUCCAUAUCGAACACAUGAUCAAAAUAACAUCACUGUAUUCUCCAUAUAUAUCGAACGCAUGAUCAAAAUACAUCACUAGAUUUACCAUAAAAUCUUCUUUCAUCAUUAAUAACAUUUUUUAUAUUUUCUAGCAUAUUAUCAUUAAAAUAGUGGUGAGAGUAUUGCGUUAUGCUACGAAGAGUAAAUAUAGUGAGUCAUUUUGGACCAGUGGGAGUAUCGAUUAUAAGAUGAUGCAAGAUCAGUUGCUUGAGGCUUGUACUGCAUAAUUUUUAUCAAAUUUGAUUUGUUAGUGAGUAUGUAGCCCGUACAUUUCUGAAAAGUAUCCCGGUGUGCAAGAAACAAGAUGUUUCUGUUUUUCCUACUCCAUGUGUGCCCCUCGUGUGUUGAGUGUUCUGUUAGGCACUAAUUACACCAGAGGUAGCCAAAACUGCUAGUAUUACAAGUUAAAAGGUGUGCCCCUACACUAGAAAUGACAUGUUGCUGUUCUCUGUUUCAAAUUCUGGUUUUGUCUAAUAAUGCUGAUAUGUUCCAACUUUUGAGCUUUUCACACAAUUUCAACCAUGCUGAAUGUUUAAUGCUUGACUUCAUAUAAAAAUUAUGAGAACAGCUCCUAAUGAUUUUCCUGAAUAAAUAUAUAGUACACGUCUGUUUGAAUGAUGAGUGAUGAUAUUUCUUGCUUGGCAGGUAUCUAGAGUUGCAUUCCAGUGGUGUAGAUGCAGAAAUGGGUUCUGGGCCGUAUGUUCUUCCCAUUUGUCUGAUGGACAUGGAUCCUGUAUGUGGCAUGCACCUAGCACCGGUCACCCGUGAAGUGGACUUGUAGGAAGGUUGAAGUGGACUUGUGGAUUUGUCUGCUGAACUUGUUAAUUUGUGUAUAUUUGUUUAAUUUAUGUAGACAUUCGUUCUGGCACAAAGGUUGAAGUUACAUCCCAUUGUUUCAAUGCGUAAUGCUUUUCAAGCAUGUUGUGUUAAGCUCACCUGUCAACUCCACCUCUCACUAGUGUGCUUGCAUUUUGAUUCUUGUAUCAGGCGGAGAGAUUUCAAUGUUGGGUUUCUGUUUAUGUUCCAUGAUAUCUCCAUUUGUGUGUUGUUAAAUUUCUAUCUUGUUUCUGAGCUAGUUCUAACUACUGAAUGUUGAAUUGCCACUGGCUUAGCCUGGUGCUAUCUGCUAUCUGUAUAAAUAGGCGGCAAUUUGACCAUGCUGGCUUCAGUGCUAUUUUGCUUUCUUAGAGGUGAUGCAAAGCUAUGGAUGAGUCACAC
rnacentral:lncRNA from 1 species